rnacentral:tRNA from 1 species
GGUAGUGUGGCUGAGAGGUCCAAGGUGCUGCUAUUAGGUACCAGUCUCUUUGGGGGUGUGGGUUCAAAUCCCACUAUUGCCA